CCUACGGGAGGCAGCAGUGAGGAAUAUUGGUCAAUGGACGAGAGUCUGAACCAGCCAAGUAGCGUGAAGGAUGACUGCCCUAUGGGUUGUAAACUUCUUUUAUAUGGGAAUAAAACGUUCCACGUGUGGGAUUUUGUAUGUACCAUAUGAAUAAGGAUCGGCUAACUCCGUGCCAGCAGCCGCGGUAAUACGGAGGAUCCGAGCGUUAUCCGGAUUUAUUGGGUUUAAAGGGAGCGUAGGUGGAUUGUUAAGUCAGUUGUGAAAGUUUGCGGCUCAACCGUAAAAUUGCAGUUGAAACUGGCAGUCUUGAGUACAGUAGAGGUGAGCGGAAUUCGUGGUGUAGCGGUGAAAUGCUUAGAUAUCACGAAGAACUCCGAUGGCGAAGGCAGUUCACUGGACUGCAACUGACACUGAGGCUCGAAAGUGUGGGUAUCAAACAGGAUUAGAUACCCUGGUAGUC
rnacentral:rRNA from 1 species